rnacentral:siRNA from 1 species
GUGUCACGUGUCAAGUCAAACGAU